rnacentral:rRNA from 1 species
AGUGAACGCUGGCGGUAGGCCUAACACAUGCAAGUCGAACGGCAGCACAGUAAGAGCUUGCUCUUACGGGUGGCGAGUGGCGGACGGGUGAGGAAUACAUCGGAAUCUACUUUUUCGUGGGGGAUAACGUAGGGAAACUUACGCUAAUAUCGCAUACGACCUACGGGUGAAAGCAGGGGAUCUUCGGACCUUGCGCGAUUGAAUGAGCCGAUGUCGGAUUAGCUAGUUGGCGGGGUAAAGGCCCACCAAGGCGACGAUCCGUAGCUGGUCUGAGAGGAUGAUCAGCCACACUGGAACGUGGACACGGUCCAGACUCCUACGGGAGGCAGCAGUGGGGAAUAUUGGACAAUGGGCGCAAGCCUGAUCCAGCCAUACCGCGUGGGUGAAGAAGGCCUUCGGGUUGUAAAGCCCUUUUGUUGGGAAAGAAAAGCAGCAGGUUAAUACCCCGCUGUUCUGACGGUACCCAAAGAAUAAGCACCGGCUAACUUCGUG